UGGGGAAUAUUGCACAAUGGGCGCAAGCCUGAUGCAGCCAUGCCGCGUGUAUGAAGAAGGCCUUCGGGUUGUAAAGUACUUUCAGCGGGGAGGAAGGGAGUAAAGUUAAUACCUUUGCUCAUUGACGUUACCCGCAGAAGAAGCACCGGCUAACUCCGUGCCAGCAGCCGCGGUAAUACGGAGGGUGCAAGCGUUAAUCGGAAUUACUGGGCGUAAAGCGCACGCAGGCGGUUUGUUAAGUCAGAUGUGAAAUCCCCGGGCUCAACCUGGGAACUGCAUCUGAUACUGGCAAGCUGGAGUCUCGUAGAGGGGGGUAGAAUUCCAGGUGUAGCGGUGAAAUGGGUAAAGAUCUGGAGGAAUACCGGUGGCGAAGGCGGCCCCCUGGACGAAGACUGACGAUCAGGUGCGAAAGCGGGGGGAGCAAACAGG
rnacentral:rRNA from 1 species